UACGUAGGGUGCAAGCGUUGUCCGGAAUUAUUGGGCGUAAAGAGCUCGUAGGCGGUUUGUCGCGUCUGCUGUGAAAACCCGAAGCUCAACCUCGGGCCUGCAGUGGGUACGGGCAGACUAGAGUGCGGUAGGGGAGAUUGGAAUUCCUGGUGUAGCGGUGGAAUGCGCAGAUAUCAGGAGGAACACCGAUGGCGAAGGCAGAUCUCUGGGCCGUAACUGACGCUGAGGAGCGAAAGCAUGGGGAGCGAACAGG
rnacentral:rRNA from 1 species